GCGAAACGCGAAACGCGAAACGCCUAAAAUGCGGAAAAGCUGUGCGAAACGGACCCAAAAGUUGGGACCCUGUUUCGCAUUUUAGGCCUUGGGUCCGUACUAAAAUGCGAAAUCGGUGGGUGCGAAACGUCAACAGAACGUCAACAGACGACGCCAUUAACAUACGUACUUGCGUCACAAAAAUCUACUCGUCAAGAUAAAAACACCUUGCCUUCGAGUUAGUUUAUCCUAGUUUCUGUUUUGUAUAUAAUUCGUUAAAUUAAAAGGAUAUUACAGUUUUGUGUAUUUACCUAUUGUAUUCAUGAUUUUGAUUUGUGAUUCACGUUAUUUGCCAUUCAAUCACCGCAAUACUUCUUAAACUUGAUAAUUAAAGUCAUGGGAGAUGUCCACUUCAUGAAACUCGCUUUGUCGUUUUGCUGAAGUAAGCUGUCUUUCUGCAAAGAAAUAAAUGAGAGUAAAGAAAAAACUUCCCAAUGUGAGGUGACAUGAUGUUUCACCUGAUACAUUGUAACCUACAUUCUCUGAGCAAUAAUUUGGUUAUCCCUGUCAUAGAAAACCUUGGUGGAAUUCUGAGAGUGGUAAUAGUUCCAUAGCUCAUGCUGCCCAAGUAAUAGUGUGGAGCAGGCGUAUCUGUGCUUUACUUUUGCUACAAGCGCUAGAAGAUUGGCAUCACAAAUCAAAUCUUUGUAUUUUCAAUCUACAAUUCA